rnacentral:tRNA from 1 species
UAAAAAGUAAGCUAAAAAAGCUAUUGAGUUCAUACCUCAAUUAUAAAGGUAAAAUUCCUUUCUUUUUAG